rnacentral:tRNA from 1 species
UUCUCUUUAGUAUAAUGGUGAGUAUCCCAGCCUGUCAUGUAGGAGACCGGGGUUCACUUCCCUGACGGGAAG